UUUUCCUCUUACCAUACUCUCCAACAAAUUUUUAUGGGAAAUUGUACUAUUACUCCCCAACUGCUUUGGGGUAGAAGAGAUCAGCCAGGGAUGUUGCGGUGGCGCUACAUGUCAAGCCUUCCAUUGCCUUGAUACAUUUGUUUAUCGAAGCCAAUUAUUUGGCAAUUAAUUCAUAUAAAAUAUGUUUUUUUUUAUUUGUAAUCUAUUCUCCGAAAUCAAUUUGUGUAUCAUUUUGCCAAUUUACAUGUAGUCUACAGUAUGGGUUCUUUGGUUUUUGCCAAUUUUUAUAUGAUAAUAAUUGCAUGUGG
rnacentral:lncRNA from 1 species